rnacentral:rRNA from 1 species
UACGAAGGGGGCUAGCGUUGCUCGGAAUCACUGGGCGUAAAGGGUGCGUAGGCGGGGCUUUAAGUCAGGGGUGAAAUCCUGGAGCUCAACUCCAGAACUGCCUUUGAUACUGAAGAUCUUGAGUUCGGGAGAGGUGAGUGGAACUGCGAGUGUAGAGGUGAAAUGCGUAGAUAUCCGGAGGAACACCGGUGGCGAAGGCGGCUUCCUGGACCGACACUGACGCUGAGGCGCGAAAGCUAGGGGAGCAAACGGG